rnacentral:lncRNA from 1 species
AGUCUUAAGAUAUUUUAAAUAUGCAUGAGUCGACCAUGGAAAUCUAGAGGAAUGCCAAUGGUACAUCUAUCAUAACAAGCACAAAUAAUAUCUUGACAUAACAAAUAACAAAAAUGAGUGGUGGGUAUCAUUUUCCUUUUAUAAGAAGUCGUAUGUCCUGCAAACUCACUAGUCGGCUUCUACUCGGACAAGUCGAAAUCCCCUUCCCUUCUU